CACGCCGUAAACUAUGAUUACUCGCUGUUGGCGAUACACUGUCAGCGGCUAAGCAAAAGCAAUAAGUAAUCCACCUGGGGAGUACGGCCGCAAGGUUGAAACUCAAAGGAAUUGACGGGGGCCCGCACAAGCGGAGGAACAUGUGGUUUAAUUCGAUGAUACGCGAGGAACCUUACCUGGGCUUAAAUGUAGAGUGCAUUUUCUAGAGAUAGGAAUUCCCUUCGGGGCUGUCUGCAAGGUGC
rnacentral:rRNA from 1 species